rnacentral:rRNA from 1 species
CAAUAGCGUAUAUUAACGUUGUUGCAGUUAAAAAGCUCGUAGUUGGAUUUCUGGAGGGAGCGUCGGCCCGUAUUUACGAGUGCGUGACGUCUCUGUCCAUCCUUGCGGGAAGGCACGGCAUUGAUUUGUUGUGUCGGAUCGCAUCAUUUACUGUGAAAAAAUUAGAGUGUUCAAAGCAGGCUUUCGCUUGAAUACAUUAGCAUGGAAUAAUAAGAUAGGACUUUGGUGCUAUUUUGUUGGUUGAGCCUAAAGUAAUGAUUAAUAGGGAUAGUUGGGGGCACCUGUAUUGCGUUGUCAGAGGUGAAAUUCUUGGAUUUACGCAAGACAAACAGCCGCGAAANCGNNNGCCAAGGAUGUUUUCAUNAA